ACGGCUCUCUUAGUUUUGAGGAGUUAGUCUGUGAUCUUUCUGUUUUGUUGAGAGGCACUACUGAAGAGAAGCUGAACUGGGCUUUCAAUCUAUACGACAUCAACAACGAUGGACAGAUCACUAAAGAGGAGAUGUUGGAUGUAUUGAAGUCUAUUUAUGAUUUGAUGGGGAAAUCUAUCCAUCCUCGACUGAAAGAGGAGGCAGUGAGGCAACACGUCAGAAUGUUUUUCCAAAAAAUGGACAUAAACCAGGAUGGACUAUUAAAUAAUUAA